GGGGAGCGGCAGACGAGAGAGUAACACGUUGGUACCUACCCCAUACUCAGGUAUAACUUCGAGAAAUCGGAGCUAAUACCGGAUAGUCCUGCAAAGGUAAGGCUUUUGCGGUAUGGGAGGGGCCUGCGACCUAUUAGCUAGUUGGUAAGGUAACGGCUUACCAAGGCGAUGACGGGUAGCUGAUGUGAGAGCAUGAUCAGNCUCGAUGGGACUGCGACACGGCCCAUACUCCUACGGGAGGCAGCAGUGAAGAAUCUUCCGCAAUGGACGAAAGUCUGACGGAGCAAACACCGCGUGAAGGAUGAAGGCCCUCGGGUCGUAAACUUCUUUUCUGAGGGAAUAAGUUCUGAAGGUACCUCAGGAAUAAGGCGCUGCUAACUACGUGCCAGCAGCAGCGGUAAUACGUAGGCGCCAAGCGUUAUCCGGAAUUACUGGGGCGUAAAGCGUCCGUAGGCGGCCAAAUUAGUCGGGUGUAAAAUUUCCAUGCCUAACAUGGAAAUCGUAUCUGAAACUGUUUGGCUACGAGUCUGAAAGAGGCCACUGGAAUUUCUAUUGGAGGAGUUAAAUCCGUAGAUAAUAGAAGGAACACCAAAAGCGAAGGCAGGUGGCUGGUUCAGUACUGACGCUCAGGGACGAAAGCGUGGGGAGCAAACAGGAUUAGAUACCCUGGUAGUCCACGCUGUAAACUAUGAGUGCUAGGCGUUGGAGAGUUGUUUCGACCCUCUUCAGUGUCCACAGUUAACACGUUAAGCACUCCGCCUGGGGAGUACGGUCGCAAGGCUAAAACUCAAAGGAAUAGACGGGGGCCCGCACAAGCGGUGGAGCAUGGGGUUUAAUUCGGUAAUAAGCGAGGAACCUCACCUAGGCUUGACAUCCCGAGAAAGUCCUGGAAACAGGACCGUGCCUUUUGGAACUCGGUGACAGGCGCUGCAUGGUUGUCGUCAGCUCGUGCCCUGAGGUGUUCGGUUAAGUCCGUAAACGAGCGCAACCCACGUCGUGUGUUGUAUUUUUCACGCGAGACUGCCGGUUCUACGCCGGAGGAAGGUGCGGAUGACGUCAAAUCAGCAUGGCCCUUAUGCCUAGGGCCACACCCGUGCUACAAUGGAGGGUACAGUGGGUAGCCAAGGAGCAAUCCGGAGCUAAUCCCCAAAACCUUCCCAAGUUCGGAUUGAGGGCUGAAAUUCGCCCUCAUGAAGUUGGAAUCGCUAGUAACCGCGGAUCAGCCAUGUCGCGGUGAAUAUGUUCCCGGGCCUUGUACUCACCGCCCGUCACGUCAUGGAAGAUGGGAGCAC
rnacentral:rRNA from 1 species